AUUGAACGCUGGCGGUAUGCUUAACACAUGCAAGUCGAACGGUAACAGGCCUUCGGGCGCUGACGAGUGGCGGACGGGUGAGUAACGCGUAGGAAUCUGCCUUAUAGUGGGGGACAACGUGGGGAAACCCACGCUAAUACCGCAUACGCCCUACGGGGGAAAGCGGGGGAUCGUAAGACCUCGCGCUAUGAGAUGAGCCUGCGUUAGAUUAGCUAGUUGGUAGGGUAAAGGCCUACCAAGGCGACGAUCUAUAGCUGGUCUGAGAGGACGAUCAGCCACACUGGGACUGAGACACGGCCCAGACUCCUACGGGAGGCAGCAGUGGGGAAUAUUGGACAAUGGGCGCAAGCCUGAUCCAGCAAUACCGCGUGUGUGAAGAAGGCCUUAGGGUUGUAAAGCACUUUCAAUGGGGAGGAAAACCUGCCGGUCAAUACCCGGUAGCUUGACAUUACCUAUAGAAGAAGCACCGGCUAACUCCGUGCCAGCAGCCGCGGUAAUACGGAGGGUGCGAGCGUUAAUCGGAAUUACUGGGCGUAAAGCGUGCGUAGGCGGUUCGUUAAGUCAGAUGUGAAAGCCCUGGGCUCAACCUGGGAACUGCAUUUGAAACUGGCGGACUAGAGUUUAGUAGAGGGGAGUGGAAUUUCAG
rnacentral:rRNA from 1 species